UUGUCUUUGUUUUGGACGGCUACAAAUCUUUACUUCAAGGACGGAUUUAGACAUUGUUACAAAAGCGAACAAAACACAAAACGAAGAAGCAGUGUUGCAAGGGGAGCAGUUAGCCCUCAAAUUGAGCUUCACACUUGCAGCAUCUUGCUAUGCAACUAUGGCAAUCAGGGAGCUGCUCAAAACAUCAACUUCUAAGAGUUGAUUGGCAAAGGAAUGUGAAGAUGGAUGUUGCUGAUAGCCUGAUACUACUUGGAAGCUAGAUGAAGCUGGAUUUUUGAAGACAGUAGAUCUGUUUUUGUGUAGUGUAGAACUGUAGAUUUUGCUUUUGUAUUGUUUCAUACUUUUAUGUAUGGUUUAAGGCUUAGAGUUCAUGUUUUGCA